CAGGAGGAAAAAGCUGAAACGGAAAUU
rnacentral:sRNA from 1 species